rnacentral:rRNA from 1 species
GUAAGGAAUAUUGCGCAAUGGGCGAAAGCCUGACGCAGCAACGCCGCGUGCGGGAUGAAGGCCCUCGGGUUGUAAACCGCUUUCAGUAGGGAAGAAAAUGACGGUACCUACAGAAGAAGCCCCGGCCAACUACGUGCCAGCAGCCGCGGUAACACGUAGGGGGCGAGCGUUGUCCGGAUUUAUUGGGCGUAAAGAGCUCGUAGGCGGUUUCGUAAGUCGGAUGUGAAAACUCCAGGCUCAACUUGGAGACGCCAUUCGAUACUGCGAUGACUUGAGUCCGGUAGGGGAGUGUGGAAUUCCUGGUGUAGCGGUGAAAUGCGCAGAUAUCAGGAGGAACACCGGCGGCGAAGGCGGCACUCUGGGCCGGUACUGACGCUGAGGAGCGAAAGCGUGGGUAGCAAACAGGAUUAGAAACCCCUGUAGUCC